rnacentral:rRNA from 1 species
UCAGGAAAGACGGUCCCUACGGGUUGGUAAACUAGCUUUUGUACCGGAAUAAACCCCGAUUCGUGAAAUCGGGUUGAAUGUACGGUAAGAAUAAGGAUCGGCUAACUCCGUGC